CAGUCGCCGCGGGAAAUACAGAGGGUGCGAGCGUUAAUCGGAUUUACUGGGCGUAAAGCGUGCGUAGGCGGCUUUUUAAGUCGGAUGUGAAAUCCCUGAGCUUAACUUAGGAAUUGCAUUCGAUACUGGGAAGCUAGAGUAUGGGAGAGGAUGGUAGAAUUCCAGGUGUAGCGGUGAAAUGCGUAGAGAUCUGGAGGAAUACCGAUGGCGAAGGCAGCCAUCUGGCCUAAUACUGACGCUGAGGUACGAAAGCAUGGGGAGCAAACAGGAUUAGAUACCCGCGUAGUCCCUGUCUCUUAUU
rnacentral:rRNA from 1 species